GACGAAGGGGGCUAGCGUUGUUCGGAAUUACUGGGCGUAAAGCGCGUGUAGGCGGUUGUUCAAGUCAGGUGUGAAAGCCUUGAGCUCAACUCAAGAAAUGCACUUGAUACUAGAUGACUAGAGGACCGGAGAGGAUAGUGGAAUUCCCAGUGUAGUGGUGAAAUACGUAGAGAUUGGGAAGAACACCAGUGGCGAAGGCGGCUAUCUGGACGGUUUCUGACGCUAAGACGCGAAAGCGUGGGGAGCAAACAGG
rnacentral:rRNA from 1 species